AACAAACGCUGGCGGCGUGCCUAAUACAUGCAAGUCGAACGGGGUAGCAAUACCUAGUGGCGCACGGGUGAGGAACGCGUGGAUAAUCUGCCUUAGAGUGGGGGAUAACUAGUCGAAAGAUUAGCUAAUACCGCAUAAGACCACAGGAGCUGCGGCUCUAGGGGUCAAAGGUUUUUCGCUCUAAGAUGAGUCCGCGUAAGAUUAGCUAGUUGGUGAGGUAACGGCUCACCAAGGCGACGAUCUUUAACUGGUCUGAGAGGAUGAUCAGUCACACUGGAAAUGAGACACGGUCCAGACUCCUACGGGAGGCAGCAGUAGGGAAUAUUGCACGAUGGAGGAAACUCUGAUGCAGCGACGCCGCGUGAGUGAUGAAGGCCUUCGGGUUGUAAAGCACUUUCAGUAGGGAGGAAGGGUGUUGUGUUAAUAGCACAGCAUUUUGACGUUACCUACAGAAGAAGCACCGGCUAACUC
rnacentral:rRNA from 1 species